rnacentral:tRNA from 1 species
GGAGGUAGCAUAGCUCAGUGGUUAGAAAAUCUGCCUGGCAUGCAGAGGUCCCAGGUUCAAUCCCCAGCAUCUCCA